GGGAGUGUGGCGGAACUGGCAGACGCGCCAGCCUUAGGAGCUGGUCCCCGGAAGGGGAUGAGGGUUCGAGUCCCUCCGCUCCCACCA
rnacentral:tRNA from 1 species